GUAAGCUUUUGGUGAACUUUGACAUGCAAGAGUUGCAUGUAAUUUGCCUAUUUAAGAAGGCUUUUGUUCAAACAUCAAAAGCUCUUGGAACCUUUGGCCAUUUGAUGUGUUUUCAAAAAGCUUACAUAACUCCGUUUAGCUCCACUUUUCUCUAAUUUUUUCCUUCUCCAAAAAGAGUCCCACCACUCUAUUCCAAACCUUGAGAAUAGCUAGGAAGAUCUCUUGGUGAUCCUUCAUUAGAGCUAUUUGAAGAUUUUUUAAAAGCUACAAAGCCACCCCCCCCCCUUUAUUUGUGUUCUCCGGUGAGGCAGCGGCGGUGGUCGACUUCACUGGCAAUGGUAGUGGAUGGCGUCAGUGGCAGCAGCGUAUGGCCGUAGCAACAAAGCCAACACUCUUUGCGGCGGUGCGACGAAACCCACGAGUUUUCAGCCUCCACCCCCGCUAUUGACAUAACUUUAUGGAGUUCGAUGAUCGGCAACAACCUUUCCUCGUCUAGAUCCGUCGACCCACGGUGGUUUGAGCCCAGACCCGUGGCGGAAUUCCUUGUUAAUAGAGCAGCGACACGUCUACUACUGAGUUUCAGUGAAGGCGACGCAUCGCCUUGAAGAGGAGGUGACGUGGCAGCAGGUUUUGUGUUCUGAUGGGAGUAUCACACAAGCAGUCUCCCCGACCCCAAAUCUGUGCACGAUGUCCCUUCCCCGACGAUUUCUGCAGUGUUUCAAUGAGACCCAGUGGCUGAACGGUGAAUUGGCUCAAACCUGCAAUGACUUCGGAGCACCGGCGCGUGGACAAAUUUUGAAAUCCAUCUUCCGGUGAUGUUUGGUGCUUACCCACGCCGAAACAAAAUCAGUUUCGUGACACCCACCCUCAUUCGAAGCUAGUUUCGGGCUACCCACACCUAAUCGGGGCUUGAUUCGUGAUAUCCACUCUCUUCGCCAUUGGUUCAGCAUUGACCCACCUCUAAUCGAACCAAAAUCAGCAUUACCCAUCACUUUUUGGCAUCAGACCAGCAAGUCUAUAGCUUUUCGAACUCGAUUUUGGAAGUCCGAACCUUUUCGAAAGUGACCCAACCAUAACCCGAGUGUUUCGGCAUGGAUUCAUAUGUAACGAAUCACCCAAACUUAGUCUCGAUGCAAAUUAAGUAUUUCUAAAAUGAACUCUAACCCAAGUUUGGUUUUUUUGGAUUUAGGAAUGCUUCGGCGAGCUUAGUAGCACGUUCGGACCUUGUAGUUUUGUAGGUAACGGGGUCACUCUCAGGAAUGGUGAUGGCGAGGAGGAGACUUGACUGGAAGAACCAUAUAGUGUUGUGUCAUUUUAUUUUCAUUUUUAAAUAGGAUAGGGGAAGUUGUUUAUGUUAUUUGAGUUUUUAUUUGAUUAAUAGGUGGGUUGUAUAAGUUUACUGUUUACAGGAUGUUUUAAGGUUGUUAGUCGUAAUUCUUUUGAGAACAUUAGUUUAGCUAUUUGAACUAUGAAGUUGUUAUCUAUUAAGGGUAACUAUUAAUACAUUUGUUCAUGUUGAAGUUAA